rnacentral:lncRNA from 1 species
UGGACUGAAAAUAAAGAGGAAUUGACAGCUGUGAGAUAUUUCAUAAAUCAAUGGGGCCCACUCACUGACAAGAGACAGAGAAUUACAGUGAAAUCAAAGGAGAAUACAUCAAAGAUGAUUCAUUCUGUCAUGAUCAGUGAAUGAGUCAAAAAUAAUUUUUACAAAGAUUCCAGUAGCUAGAUUACAUAGUUAAUGUGAGAUAAUAGUAAUUAGCAAAGGUUGCUCUAUGGUUGGGAAUAGUUCUUUGUACAAAUUUUUUUUUUUUCUUGUUACCGUGGCAUAUUUUUGCAAUAUUAUUGUUGUUGUCAUUAUUGUGCAUUUAUUUGCAAUGGUGGGCCCAUAAUGAGGUGUGAACUGCUCCCCUGGAGUAGAUUAGACACUUUUGGAAAGUUUGUAUUAUAUCUUUGGAGCCAUGAGGGUGCUGUUGAGUAAACUGCUACUCCCCCACACCCACCUCAUUUCUGCGCAUAAGAAAUGUAUCUCAUGAUACUCUAGCCUUAAAGAAAAAUGUUAAUGAAUCUUUCAACUGUAUUUAUUUUUCCUAGGUCCUUCGGAUUAGAAUAUAUUUCUAGCUAUCACAUUUCCCUACCUCUUUAUCUUCAACAGUUUUCUUGGAGAAUUAACCUAGGAGGAAGAAGGGUGUUCAGAGUUAUCAAGAAGUCUCUGCCAAAGAGAGGAUAAAAUGAAAAUGAUUCAUCUUCAGCUCAAGUCGUUGGUCCAGCUCUUCAUCAUUUAAUCUGAGACACAACUAGGAAUCCCACAGAAGAAGGAUUUUUACGGCACCAUGCAGAAAGCUCUCAUUCCUUAGAAUCAAAACUUUCCACAUCGGGUAAGUUCUUUAUCUUUGUUGCGUUGUUUCUGCUUGUUGUUAUUAGCUGCUUAGUCGUGUCCACCUCUUUUGUGACCCUGUGUGCUGUAACCUGCCAGGUUCCUCUGUCAUGGGAUUUCCCACGCAAGUAUACUGGAGUGGGUUUCCAUUUCCUUCUCCAGGGGUAACCUUCCCGACCCAGAGAUUGAACCUGUGUUUUCUACAUUGGCAGGCAGAUUCUUUACCACUGAGCUACCAGGAAAGCCC